UAAGGAAUAUUGGACAAUGGACGCAAGUCUGAUCCAGCCAUGCCGCGUGAAGGAUGAAUGCCCUCUGGGUUGUAAACUUCUUUUAUAGGGGAAGAAAGAUACUUUUUUUAAGGUAGUUGACGGUACCCUAUGAAUAAGCACCGGCUAACUCCGUGCCAGCAGCCGCGGUAAUACGGAGGGUGCAAGCGUUAUCCGGAUUUACUGGGUUUAAAGGGUGCGUAGGCGGGCAUGUAAGUCAGUGGUGAAAUACCGGAGCUUAACUUCGGAACUGCCAUUGAUACUAUGUGUCUUGAGUAUUGUGGAGAUAAUCGGAAUAUGUCAUGUAGCCGUGAAAUGCUUAGAUAUGACAUAGAACACCGAUUGCGGAGGCAGCUUGCUACGCAAAUAUUGACGCUGAGGCACGAAAGCGUGGGGAUCAAACA
rnacentral:rRNA from 1 species